AACCAGUUAGACACUGCCUGGCCAAGUUAUUCAUUAUGUACCUUGUUCCCUUAGGCUCUUUUUCAAGUUCUGGAGAACAGAGAAGAAAACUGUUAUGCCCACUCUGUGGAACAUUUCAGUACAGCACCACCUUUUUUUUUUUUCUUCAUUUAAAGUCAAAAUGCAAAAUGCGUUUCCCCCCCCCAUUCUCAUCUUACAGCCACCUCAGUUGGCAGACAUUGGUUUAGAGAGAAGAGAUUGGACUUCUGGUGAAAUAAAGGACAAGUGCAAAAGUUCACUUGGUCAAAGUAAGCGUGGAGAAAAACCCAGUAUAGAGCACAAGUCUGCCAGGAGAACUUCAGAGUAAAUCUUAGAAGCUCUCAAGCAGCAAACGAAACAGCAGGAAAAAAGUCAACAAUUAAAUUCAAUCUGUGAACCAGCAGCAGCAGAGGACAAUAGAAGGUGGUGUUGGACAGGCCAAAAAACUACCAGUGUUUCUCAUCCACUUAGAAUUUCAACAGUCAGCCGAAAACAAUGGGGAGAAAGGAGCAUCAAGCAAAAUAAACAAUCGUAUUUCCCUUCAGACAAGGGACAGUCUUCUAUUUCACCUGCAGAAUUCAUUACUUCUGAUGUGAAGACCCUUCUUUCCACAGCUCUAAGUCACUAAUUAUAUUUGCCUUUUAUAGUGUGAGGCAUCAGGAAUAAGAAAGAACUUUAUUUUUCCAAAGCCAAACAAGUUCUUUUUUAAAUCUGCAACUUCUCCAAGUUAAUACACACAAAAAGACUUAAGAGGAAUUCAUUCGUGUAACAGAGAAAAAGUACUGGUGCUACCCAGCUGUGCUCCUUAGCUGCUGACAGUAGUAGCUUUAGACUCAGUAGCGAGGAGGGACUUACACUGGUCACUCGGCGGUAGAUCUGCGCAGCAUUUUGGCACUCGGAAUAAGGAUACUCAGACGUGGCCAUCUCUAGCAUACACAUCCCAAAAGCAUAUACAUCAACGGAUUCAUCAUAUUUCUCCUCAUACAUCUCGGGGGCCAUGAACUCUGGGGUACCUUAAAUUAAAAGAACGAUUCAGACUCUAAAUGUCUCAAAGCGAGCAGAGGCUGCUGGCGUUACUCACCGCAGGAGGGAGCGGAUGGGCAGACCUGUGAGACAAGAGAAAGUGGAGGCAAAAAGAAGAGGGAGGAAACCCUUAGUGACUCUGUUGCAUCAACACACUCUGUGAGUCUUCCAUUGCAAGGCCUUUGUGGAAUAAGAAUGGCGUGAAAGGACUGCCGCAAGUCCUGGCUUAGAUUAGAGAUGCCACAAGGUGAAUAACCUUAUGACAGCAUUCAAGUGCUUUCCAGCAGUGUUUUCUCACAACUUCUCUUUGGGUAACACAAUUUGAAGUGAAGAGCUGUUUUCUUCCUUUUGAAGAAGUACAGGUUGAAAUACAUUCAGGGGAAAGGAAGUAGCAUGCUCUGUAGAGCAAGGACUUUAUUCUUAUUCAGCCCGUGUUACUCAGUCAAAGUCUCAGAUAAAGACCAGUUCCACAGUAUUGCAAGACUGGUAGUAAAUUCUGUGACCAGCAUGGAGUCUAGCAACUACAGUCUUCAACUAACAGCAAGUCAUGUUCAAUUAUUCUGUGGUACUGUUCAGUUUACUCUGCAUAUCCACUUAAUCAGGAGAUAAAGUCUAGAUGAAAUCACUUGAAUCAUUGCCAACAUAAAAAUGCAGUGUAUUAAUCCCUUUUACUUUCAUUUCUCCAGUUCAAAAGAAGAUCUGGAAACUCAAGUUGCUAGCAAUAAUCCUGCUGUGAAAAUAGAUCUGUAAAAGCAAGUGGGACACAGUUCCAGAGGAAAUCAAGUCUUAGAAUAUAAAGACAGGUAGGGAAAAAGCCAAGCCAAGGAAGGAGACAAACUGAAGGAGGUUCUGAAUCACAUCAGCUACCACUUGAAUUCUUGCUAUUGACACAACCCUCAUUCAUCUCUCUCGAGCCUGAUCCAAAGAUCACAUGGUAGGGGCACUUCAGUUCAGCAUCUGGAAUCCCUAAUUACAUUCUUGGUUUCAAAUAUGCUUGCCUACUGCCAGCUCUUCAUUGCUAAAGGACCUGGGUCCAACCAUCACCCAGCAUCCCACAGUGCUGCCAUCAGUUUUCCACAACACUGUCCUGAACUAAGUCACAUGCCACUUAAGGCAGAAAUCAAUUUAAAACAGAAGCACAUAUAAAUACAUAAAGAUACACAGACAACCCUACUAGCCAGUAUGUUUUCAAUUUUCCUAGUAUCAUUGGAUAACUCAGUCUUGAAGAGACCUCAGGAGGUUUCUAGUCUAAGCUUCUGCAAUUAGAAUUACCUACAGCAUCUCAGCUCAAGGAGCUACAGGAACCCCUACUGAAUUAGCAGAGGUAGUUAUGAAGGUAUGUGCCCUACCAGAGAGCUGACACAUUCAUUUAAAGUGGAUCAGGAACACAACACUAGACACACUUUUAUCCAGACCUUAGACAGAACCAAUGGCUGAGACCUAAGUCAGAUUAAACACUGUUGUCUUCAUUAACAGUAUAAUUAAAAUUUCAAAUUGACAACUCCAUUUUUCCCAAUAUUUUAAUUCCAUGACAGCAUACAAUAUCAGAAAGCAGUCUUAUUCUUUACAAAAUUCAGUUGUAAAACUUUUCCAUUCAUAUACAGAAGUUUGGGCACUUUCCCUCGUGCAAAAUUAGAAAAUUGCUCAGACAGCAUCUGAAAAGAAGCAGUCCACAAAAUUUUAACAUUAUUUCUGGGUAUUUAUGUAUCAAUGUAUACAAAUACAAAAAACCACGAGAGAAAAUUUACUUUAAGAUAUCUCUACACUUCAUUUUUUUACAUCAAGUGACAACAAUAUCUAUGUCCCAAGUCUCAAAAUGAGGAAAGUAACACUUUUAUAAAAUGCAGGUAAUGUAAAAAUACUGAAAAAAAACAAGAUAUGCAAGUAAUAUUCGGUCAGCCAAAUAUCAUAAGCUAACACAAGUGUGCAGUGUAGAUUUAGGAAUGUGACACAAACAUGUGAAAUACUUAAUGAUAUUAAAUUUGGCACACCAGAAAUUUCCCAUAUAUAUAGUUUACCUGUCAAGUCUCAAGUGAAGUGGGCAAGCAUAAACUAAAUCACAAUUAUAACACAAGCUAUGCAAGAGUGGGGAAAAAAACCCACCCAGAACUCUACAGCUUAAAAGAUCUUUGAUUAAACAAACAACCUGUUACUUCUUUCUGGAUAAAAUAAAAAUACUUUCAUACUUCAAAGCACAAAAUAAUCCUAGAGACAGCAAAUCUGAGGUAUUUCGUCCUACCAACACCCUACUUCAUAAUUGCCUAUUACUACUUUAUCAUCUCACUUAUGCCACCACAUAACAAGCCAAUCCAAAUAUUAAAAUCUGUGAGAAGGAUAAAGGAGUAAGAAAGGCAGGAAAAAAAUUAAAUCUAACACUAUAUGUUUAGCAUAAAAUUAAGUAUCUUUAUUUAAAGGCAUCUUUACAGAGCUGCUUACUUUUUUACUGCUCUGAAAACAGCACAUGAAGCAACAGAUCUAUUAUUUUAUCUGAAAUACCCUAAACAACCUUCAAAAUAUCUUCACUGAACAUAAGGAUAAAGAAUGUUGUGGUAUCCUUAGUCCUCCAGUACUAUUUUAAGAGACAAACACUUCCCUGUAAUUGCAGUCCAGACUCCCAAAGAGCCAUUUUUUUUCCUCUUUAAGAAUGUCCAUUUGUGGCUAUCAAUAAGCAUCAUAAAAACACAAGACAUUCAUGGGCUAUUUUAACCAAAUAGAUGGCAAAUUGUUUCCAGCUCCCACAGCCUGCUUACACAUUUAGGAUUUGAAUGCCUCUCCAAGACUUAAAUGGGCACUGAAAGAAGACAGCGACCCACAGCCCGUUUAUCCCAAAGGCUGGUAGUUCUAUUUCCAGCAAGGAAGGGUGACUGGGUGCCGGCGGUGUGAGCUCUCUGUGAGCCCCCGCGGGCCCCGCGCACCACUAGAGGCCCUCGCAGCAGCUCCAUUUCCUGCACUCUGCUUUUAACUCUGCCUUAAAGACACACCCAGGGUCCCUCAGCUGCCUCACAGGUUGGAGCUGCAGGCACCUGCAUACUUUGAUUUUUGUUAGGUACUGCUUCACCAAGCUUCAGCUAAACAAAUAGGUAAAUAGGUGGUGAUUUUUUUUUCCUUUUUACAUAUUAUUUGUACUGCUCUAACACCCAAAGCCUCCCAAAAGAGAUGCAUUAAUUCGUACUUUGAACUUUACAAACCACCUCAUGCUAAAUGGAAGGCAGCUGGAGAGGAAAAAGAAAAAUUCUGAGAAGUGAAAAGAGAGUAUUGUCUUCCUGAGGUCUUAAAAUCCAGAAGUUUUCUGUAUGUGCUUACUAGGACAUCACAAGGAAGAAUCUGACAAGCCUCUUUAACAAGAAUGUUCCUACAGGGCGUUAGCCCUCAGCAAAAGGGCUCUAUUCUUACGUAUUCUGAAAUAUCAUCUAUUUCUAGGGCUCUGAUUCUGUGCUAAUGAAGCUUAAAUACUUUGACAUGUCUUAAUUUACUUACGUUUUCAGUGUUCCAGACGUCAUUAGUUCCGUCACAAGAACAAUACACUUUUUUCCUUUGACUGUAGACUCCCAGGAAUCAUAGAACCUGACAAUAUUGGGGUGCUGAAGCCCUUUCAGCAUCCCAGCUUCCUCUUUAAAUCGUUGUCGCUCUGACUUGGACAGCUUCCGAUCCUAAUGAAAAAGAAAAGGUACAUCAGAAAGCUUUGCUUAAAUUUUCUUAUUCAGAGAAGCAGCAACUUGAAAAACACUUGAGUACAUCCAGGAAUCAGCUUUCUUAAAUGCCAUUUAGCUCACAAUUAUUUUUAAAAUAUGCUAUCUUGAGCACAUUCUAUUACAGUCUUUUUACAAUAUAUUCUUCCUUACAAUCCCAUUGCUCUUGGAGUUAAGAAUUGCAAGUCUGUAGAUUAACUCCUCCUCCUGUCUCCUCUUCCCUUACUCUUAAUAAAUUUAGUCAUUGCCUUGAGCUGGAAAGGGCAUGUACUGUUUUGAACAUUUCGGUGUUUGAGGAUAAAAUCAGAUCAUUUAAAGCAUGUUGUACACAACAAUAAUCUUCCAUCAUUCCUAUGUAUCCAGCCCACUGGUAACAGAUGGCAUUAGCCCUCCAUACAGGGGGUAGAGCAUCAAACCUCUCUAACAUACAGUAUGUACGUAUGUACAUACUGUAAAUAAUCAAGUGAAUGAGUUGGUGUUUCUUUGAUUAAAAGCAGAAACUCA